AUGCAGAUUCUCCCCUGAAAUUCUAUGCCUUUCUUCAGAUCAUUUGAUUAUCAAAGAGGCAAGAAAACCUGAACCAGAGGAAACUCAAAUCUGUUCCAAUUAUGGCCCUGAUGUGGAAAACUGGCACAACCCCAGCAAGUCUGCUACCUGGACCAUUCCCAGGGGAAGGGCGUGCUGGCAGCUUCCCUUCACCUUCCGCCAUGGGUGGGAGCAGCCUAAAGCCCUCACCAGAAGCCGGGUAGAUGCCAACACCAUGAUUCUGGAAGAGCCUGCAGAACCAAGAGCCAAAUAAACAUCUUUUCUUUAUAAAUUGCCCAACCUCGGGUAUUCCUUCACAGCAACACAAUGCACUUGGAUAUAUGCCUUCUUAUAGGCAUGGCCUCGCAGCCUUCCAUAUGCCCCAAUCUCUAGGAGGGGGUGAGGAAUUCUUAAACAAGUGUUAAGGGCCACAAGAAAUAAAGGAAAAGAUGGGUAAAUCUGACCGCAUUGAAAAAAUUUUUAAGUAUGUACAUAAAAGGACACUAAAGACGGGGCGGCUGGCAAAAUGUGAUCAGAUAUUAAAGGAUUUAGCAUCUAAAAUAUUUAAAGAGUUGUUAUAAAUCAGUGAAAGAAACGUUAAAAGAUUUUGUUUAAAUGGGCAAAAUGUACAACAGAUACUUCACAUCCACACACAUGCACGCAUGCACACAAGCAGAAGCAGCUCAAAUACACAAGCCCUUGAAUAAUUAGGGAAAUGCAAAUUAAAAGAAUGAGUUAUCAUUGCAUACAUAUCAGACUGGCACAAACUUAACUGUCUCUCCUAUGGU